rnacentral:rRNA from 1 species
UACGUAGGGACCGAGCGUUGUCCGGAAUCAUUGGGCGUAAAGAGCGUGUAGGCGGCCUUUUAAGUCCUGCGUGAAAUCCUGCGGCUCAAUCGCAGACGGUCGUGGGAAACUGGAAGGCUAGAGUGCGGGAGAGGAGAGUGGAAUUCCCGGUGUAGCGGUGAAAUGCGCAGAUAUCGGGAAGAACACCCGUGGCGAAGGCGGCUCUCUGGAACGCAACUGACGCUGAGACGCGAAAGCGUGGGGAGCAAACAGG